GAAAUUGCGCAUGCUCCAUGCGAGUCCCCGUGCGGGCGGCAAAACAAAGCUGCUGCUGCUGCUGCCGCCGUCUGACCCGGGGGGAGCCCGGCAUUAAUUUCUCCGUGCCCGGCCGGGGGGGCUUUCUCAAGCUGGGACCCGCCCCCUGGGCAGCCCCGGGCUCUGCCCGCACCAGCGCCCGGGCCGGAGGCCCCCAGUGAGUGAGAGUCAAAAACUACAUUUCCCAGAAUGCCCCGGGGGGCGCUUCUGCCUUUUCCAGCUCAGGCUGCAGAAUGAUGUCCAUGUUUCGCUCCAGUUCAUCCCGUCCUCUCAUUGGACAGGGGAGAGAAAUGGCUGCAGAGGAGUCAGUCCAGGGGCCGGUGACCUUCGAGGAGGUGGCUGUGUAUUUCACCAGGGAAGAAUGGGCUCUGCUGGACCCCACUCAGAGAGCCCUCUACUGGGAUGUCAUGCAGGAGAACUAUGAGACUGUGACCUCACUGGGUAAGGGUUACUGUCCCCUUGGUUCUUGGAAGGGGAAAUGAAGAGUUAAGGUUCACGCCAGCCCCACAAUGCCACCUCUCCUCUGCCCAGUUUCAGCAUCACGCCAAUAUGCCAGUGCCACACACACUACCAGAGACCCUCCCCCACUGCAGAACACGUUGGGAACAGCGCACAGGAGCAGUAUCACACAGUGUCAAAUAUCUCCUGUUUGCUCAAGUAAAACUGAGCGUUAGGUGCGGCAUAAUCAACAGAAGCUUCCUACCCCUGACCUCUCAAACCCUGAGCCUUCUCCACCCAAACCUGAAUGUGCUUGGGAUGUACCAAGCAGGCUGCUGGAGUCAGAGCUGCUGGUCCAGGGUUACGUAUCACACAGACACUCCGUGCGUCCUUGAAUGCUGGCUGGGGGCAUCCAGAGAAGGAAGCUCAGUGGCGGUUUUAGGGUUAAUGGGGCCCUGUGCUCAGCUUCAUUUUUGGGGCCCCUCCUUGGGACCCAGGCAAGAAAAAGAACAUUCUCUCUUAUCCCCCCCCCCCCAUCCCUUCAUCCUCCUCCUAUAAGUAAUAGGAAGUAAAUGAAAAUGAAGUGAGGUGCCUGAUUGUUCUGGUAGUCUAACCGAUUUUUCCACAGACCAGUUGAAAAUCACUGAGGGUCUCAGUGCACCACUUAAUGACCUUUCCAAAUGUUGUUUGUACUGUUAGCGAACUAUUGUAAAGCGCUUUGGAUAAGAGCCCUUUAUAAAAAAAUGUAAAAAACGUUGGGGUGCAAGGUAUG